GUCUCUGAAGGGCCGUUGAAGACUACAACGUUGAUAGGCAAGAUGUGGAAGCAUGGUGACAUGUUAAGCUAACUUGUACUAAUUACCCGUGAGGCUUAACCAU
rnacentral:rRNA from 1 species